CACCGGCGGGUGCUCUGUUUGACAGCGUGGUCCUGCUGGCUUCCUGCUCUGCUCUGUGACCUUGGACACGUUUCGAAGCCAAUCCUUUCAGGCCCUGGUCAUGCCCAGUGCCCGUUACCUGGGGUGGAUGCUUAUUUUGUUUCAAACACACGAACACGCCCUCACUGUGUGGAGGCAUUGUUUGGGACGCUCUGCAAAUACUAUCUCAGUGACUGCUCAGGACAACUCUAUGAUGCAGUCACUUUGUCAUGCCCAUUUUACAGAUGAGGACAGAAAGAACUUCGGGCUUGUGGAUCCAUCUGCCUAUUCAACAUUUCCAUUUGAAAUAUGAGUACUAUUUUCAAAUUUAGCCAAAAUGUAUGACAUCCCCUUUCUCACAUCUGCUGUAUGGAUGAUGACGAUGGAAUGAGAAGGAAAUGUGGGCGACUAGUUCAUCAGGUAGGUUCCAGAAAGUUGGCAUGGCACUUAAACAGUUAAUACUGAACUGCUCCUCUGACCUCCAUGAGCCGGUGCUCCAAUCUGCACAGAGCAGUCCCACCGUCACCGGCACAGCCGAGCGCAGAGCCGUCCGAGGACACGGGGGGAGGCCUACCACUGCUCUUCCCGACCUAACGCUGCAGCCACGGGGACACCUGGGUGUGAAGCAGCUGAAAUUCACUCACUGAGCUGGGACUGAGCUGAGCUCUUAAAAUGUCACGGUCUGUCUCGUCAUUGAAUAUUUUAUACCAACUCUUCCUAAUUAGAGAUAUGCUUUAAUUUAUGUAAAAAAUCGCUUGCCUAGAAAUGAUCAAAAUAAUUAGAAGCAAAAUCCUGCUAAUUUUUAUUUACUGCCACAUAAAUAUAAUAUUUAAGGUGAAAAUAUGAAAUUGUUUUCCUUGGAGUCAGCUCAUGUUGUCUGGGUGCCCGUGAAGAAUUUAAAAGCAUUUUAUGGCUGUUAAUGGAACUUGGUAAAAAGUGUUGAUUAAAGUUGAGCAUGGGAAAUUCUUUAUGUAUCACACAUCUCCAUAACAUAUGAUGAAACGCAUUUUGUAUUAAUUUAUUAUGGAAAAGGUAGUCAAAAUUAAUCAAACAUUAUAAAGUGAGUUUCCUUAAUCUA